rnacentral:rRNA from 1 species
AAGGUCUGGCCUGCCCACUGAUUAGAUUGAAGGGCCGCGGUAUACUAACCGUGCGAAGGUAGCAUAGUCAAUAGUCUUUUAAUUGGAGGCUUGAAUGAAUGGUCGGACAUGAAGAGAACUGUCUCAUUAGAUGAUAAUGAAGUUAACUUCUGUGUGAAAAGGCAUUGAUGGUUUAGAGGGACGAUAAGACCCUAUAAAACUUUAUGAUUAGUUGUCAUGCCUCUUAAUAUGAGUUUAAAGAGGGGGGUGACGAAAUUAUUGCGCUGGGGCGGCGGGAAUAUAAUUUGUAGCUGUUCUUUUAAAUGGAAUAGUUAUAAUUAGACUUUGACCCUGGAAUUCGGUUUGUAAGUGUCAGUUACUUUAGGGAUAACAGCGUUAUUUCUCCUGAGAGUCCAUAUCGAUGGAGACAUUUGCGACCUCGAUGUUGAAUUAAAGCUGUCUUCGGGAGUAGGAAUUCGAGAGACAGGUCUGUUC